UGCGCGGGCGCGCAGCCCCUGCGCGGGCCGGUCCCGAGUUCACUCCGCAGUUUGGCUCUGCUCGGAGUUUGGUCGGGCCGCGGAGGCGGGGGCCAGCCCUCCCCUCCCGCACAAAGGGGGUUGAAAGUCUAUUUUCCACUUGGCUGGAUCGAAAUGCUCCGCGCGGGAUCCUUCCCCCCGCGGAGAGCAGAGCGCUGCUGCGCGCCCGCGGGCGCUGCGCGGACUCGCUCCCGCAAGAGGCUGCGGGGAGAAGGAUGGGGGCAGGAAAAGCAAAAUUCCGCGAAAUCCCAGAGAACUGAAAACCUAAAAAUGGAGCGAGAGCGUCGGCAAAGCGGAAAAGUGGAAAUAAGGAAGAGGAGUUGGGCCUGUCCCAGCUCCAGGAGAGCUCAAGCAGGAUUUUUAUCCCUUCGGGAAUGAACCCGGAGCCGCCGAGCCGGGGUCUUGCUCGGGCUGGAGAUGCCCCUGGCUGGAGAGGAAAACUUUAUCCGCGGAAUGCCCGGAGAGGGGAACCGGGAUGGAUCCUCCCCGCGGGAUUCCGGCCGGGAACAGCUCCGGGAAGGGGAAAAAUCCAUUUUCCUUUCUAACGAAAGAGCCGCCGGCCGUGCGAGCGCAGCCGAGGGCCCUCAGGGGCCGGGCAGGAGCGGCUGCACCGCGAUCGGGGGCAAAGGGGGGUCUGGAAAACCCAACCGGGGCGUCCUGCAAGGAGCAAACGAGAGAGGAGGAAAAGGAGAGGGAAAGAGGGACAGGACAGACACCGAGCACCGGCGGCGGGAUGGGGGUAAAUGGUCAUUUACGGGGUGGCAGAGGGACAGCGGAGCCACUCUGUGUCCGUGUCCAUCCGCACCCCAGAAUCAGAGCCCGCAGGUGCUUUCCCCGAGCAGAGCGGUGUCCCCGGAGCCCGGCGGUGUCCCCGAGCCGGGCCGUGUCCCCGAGCGGAGCGAUGUCCCCAAUGCCGAGCGGUGUCCCCGGAGCCAGGCGAUGUCCCCGGAGCGGAGCGGUGUCCCCGGAGCCAG